rnacentral:rRNA from 1 species
UACAGAGGGAGCAAGCGUUGUUCGGAAUUACUGGGCGUAAAGGGCGCGUAGGCGGUUCGAUAAGUCCCGUGUGAAAUCCCUCGGCUCAACUGAGGAAUGGCACGGGAAACUGACGGGCUUGAGUUCGGGAGAGGGAAGCGGAAUUCCGGGUGUAGCGGUGAAAUGCGUAGAUAUCCGGAGGAACACCGAUGGCGAAGGCAGCCCCCUGGGUCAACACUGACGCUCAUGCACGAAAGCGUGGGGAGCAAACAGG